ACAUGCAAGUCGAGCGAAUCGAUGGGAGCUUGCUCCCUGAGAUUAGCGGCGGACGGGUGAGUAACACGUGGGCAACCUGCCUAUAAGACUGGGAUAACUUCGGGAAACCGGAGCUAAUACCGGAUACGUUCUUUUCUCGCAUGAGAGAAGAUGGAAAGACGGUUUACGCUGUCACUUAUAGAUGGGCCCGCGGCGCAUUAGCUAGUUGGUGAGGUAAUGGCUCACCAAGGCGACGAUGCGUAGCCGACCUGAGAGGGUGAUCGGCCACACUGGGACUGAGACACGGCCCAGACUCCUACGGGAGGCAGCAGUAGGGAAUCUUCCGCAAUGGACGAAAGUCUGACGGAGCAACGCCGCGUGAACGAAGAAGGCCUUCGGGUCGUAAAGUUCUGUUGUUAGGGAAGAACAAGUACCAGAGUAACUGCUGGUACCUUGACGGUACCUAACCAGAAAGCCACGGCUAACUACGUGCCAGCAGCCGCGGUAAUACGUAGG
rnacentral:rRNA from 2 species